rnacentral:tRNA from 1 species
GAGAGUAUAGCUCAAGUGGUAGAAUGCAUGCUUACAAUGCAUGAGGUCCUGGGUUCAAUCCCCAGUACUUCCU